rnacentral:rRNA from 1 species
ACCCUGCACUUACAAGCUGUGGAAGCACAUUUCUUGUGUGACCGCGUACUUUUUGUAGAACGGGCCAACGAGUUACGUUAAGUAGCAAGGUUAAGCACUUAAGGUGUGGAGCCGUAGCGAAAGCGAGCUUUAACUGAGCGUUCAGUUACUUGACGUAGACCCGAAACCGGGCGACCUACCCAUGAGCAGGCUGAAGCGAAAGUAAAAUUGUGAGGUCCGAACCCACGAGCG